rnacentral:rRNA from 1 species
GGCCUUUAUGCUUAGGGCUACACACGUGCUACAAUGGGUGGUACAAAGAGAAGCCAACUCGCGAGAGCGCGCCAAUACUCAAAAAGCCAUCCUCAGUUCGGAUUGGAGUCUGCAACUCGACUCCAUGAAGUUGGAAUCGCUAGUAAUCGCGGAUCAGCAUGCCGCGGUGAAUACGUUCCCGGGCCUU